CCCAACAGCGCAGCCUGGCUCCGCCCUGACGCCCACCCAGGAGACUGGGACAAGCGGCUUACUCCCCGGCGGGCCUGGGCGGGCGCUCCGCUGGGUCCCCGAGCAGGGGUGCUGGCCGGAGCAGGCCCGCGCAAAAGCCCCGCAGGGUGGGCGCCUCUGCAGGGGUGGAGCCGGCGAGGCGGUGAGUGGGCCCGGCCGUGCGCAGGGCUCUAAGCAGGGGUUCUCAAACUGCGACCCGCGGGCCUCUUGAGGCGGUGUGAUUGUAUUUGUUCCCGUUUUUGUUUUUUUACUUCAAAAUAAGAUGUGCAGUGGGCAUAGGGAUUUGUUCAUAGUUUUGUUUUUAAACUAUAGUCCGGCCCUCCAACGGUCUGAGGGACAGUGAAUUGUCCCCCGGUUUAAAAAGUUUGAGGACGCCUGCAGGGGGUCCGCUCGUGGGCGGGACCAGGCGGUGGUGGGCGGGGCGGGUGCGCGCCUGCGCCUGGCGCCUCCCCCCCCCCUCCCCCCGGCACCCGCUGGUCCCGGAGCUUUGGAGGCAGUUGCGCCUGGUGUUAAAUUCUAGCUCUGCGGUACCCCUGCCCUGGGGGGACAAAAGCAACCAAAGCUGGGAAGGGCGCUUCUCUCCCAGAUUUCUCUGUGUCCUCUGCAGAGACUGUCUCUCCUCCUUGGUACUUAUCCCCUGGACCUGCUCUGCCCGUCCUCAGUUGGUAUCGCCAAGGGCUCAAGCUUCGGCCCCCUUGGCUUCUGACCGCCUCUUUCCUGUCGCCUCUGAAUGCAGAUAAUCCAGCUUGUGACCUGUCUUGGUCUGGUUUGUGUUGCUGUAACAGAACAGCCGAGGCUGAGUAACUUAAAAAGAAAAGAGGUGUGUUUAGCUCCUGGCUCUGCAGGCCGGCAAGUUCACAGUUGUGCAGCUGCCCUUGGCAAGAACCUCUGCUCUCCCACUCCGGGCAGAAAGGAGGAGCAGAAAGGAGGAGCAGUGUAUGCAGAGAUCCAAGGCCAGAGAAGAAGCAGAAGGGGGACCCGGAGGAACUGAACUCUCUUUACUCCUUCCUGAAGGAACUAAUCCAUUCCCUGCAGUGUGAGAACACACUUGCCCUCUGGGAGGGCACUGACCCAUUCAUGAGGGAUCUGCCCCUGUGACCCAGCUGCCUUCCACCAGGCCCAGCUCCCAACACGGCCACAGUGAGGAUCAAAUUCCAGCAGAAGUUUUGGUGGAGACAAACCUCGUCCAGACCAUGUCAGGGCUGCUAGGAAUAGAGCUGCUAUGGACCUUCUUGUUGAAGUCUCCACGCUGACAUGUGCUGGCAUCUUUCCUGACAGUUCUAGAAUGAAAUGCUUGGGGUGUGGGAGCCUCAAGCUGUCACCCUGGGUAGAGUGCUAUGGCAUCACAGCUCACAGCAACUUCCAACUCCUGGGCUCAAGCGAGUCUCCUGUCUCUGCCUCCCAAGUAGCUGGGACUACAGGUGCCAGCCACAAUGCCCGGCUAUUUUUUGGUUGCAGCCAUCAUUGUUGUUUGGUGGGCCUGGGCUGGAUUCGAACCCGCCAGCUCAGGUGUGGCUGGUGCCUUAGCCGCUUGAGCCACAGGCGCCGAGCCGGUGUGUUUGAUCUUUACUUGAACUGUACGUGAGGGAAAAGGAGUCCCCUUAGGUGUUCUCUCUGCCUGCAGCAGCAAAGUACAAGAUUUAAACUUGGAUGCAAGCCUGGGAUGCCACGAAAGGGGAAGAGAAAUGACAAAGAGCCUCUGGUAAAACGACUCUGACAUUAGUACUUUAGGGCCAACGACUGCCCUUAAGUUAAAUGUGCGACCUCAAAAGCUGUCGUUCUGGGUUACGGUAAUUUAUCUUAAUACUUUGUAUUGUCAGAUGUCUGAAGACAAUACUUGGGGGUCAUUAGUGAGAUUUGAACAAAUACUUCAGAGAAAUGCACAGUCUCUGGUGGUGCCUGUGGCUCAAAGGAGUAGGGCGCUGGCUCCAUAUGCCAGAGGUGGUGGGUUCAAAUCCAGCUGCGGCCAAAAACUGCAAAAAAAAAAAAAGAAAUGCACAGUUUCCACGUUGGGUUUUCGAAUGAAGCAUAGACAGGCUUCUCUGCUGACCUCCAAGCAGGAAAAGGGCAACAAUAUUGGUUAGACGCUGAUCAGUUGGGGAAAGAGUUCAUUGGCAAGACUGUCCUCCCAAGAAUGGUUUACACCGAGUGGGGAGCAUUGAAGGGAUCCACAUCACUGUACCCAUCCUGUAGGCAGGAAGGUGGCUUCAGGCAGCAGCUGGAUGAAAGCAGAUUUGAGACCCCCAGCUGUGGAAUGAAGUCAUUUUCUAUAGGUUCUUCCUUCACUGAGACAGUGAGUUCAGGAUGCUUGUUCUCUGAGGGGCUAAGAGGUGCUUUCCUGAUUUUCACUAGCACAUUAGCUUGGCUCUCUGUCUCAGAGGGUGUCUCUAAGACUAAGGGCUUCGUACAUAUGUGGGCCAAAUGAAUUAGUUCCUGAUGGCUUCCAGAUUGGCUGAAGAUGUCCCCCCUGACAGAAAGGGAGGCUGUUGAGGAACUGGGUCAUUCUGGGUAGACCUGGGAGCUCCAGGCUGGUAGAGUCAGGGGGAGAACAUUUGAAGAACUUGACUAGGAGGCUGAGGGUGGUGGCUUGCACCUGUAAUCCCAGCACUCUGGGAGACUGAGGCAGGUAGAUCGCCUGAGCUCAGGAGUUUGAGGCCAGCCUGAGCAAGAGCCAGACUCCAUCUCUACAAAAAGUUGUCCAAAUUUCUAGUUGUUAACAUUGAAGGACAUAUUUCAGCCAUACACUAAAUCCCCUUUCUGUCAUUUCCAACAUUUCUUUUUAGGUGGGAUCCUCCGUGGCAGCUGCCUCGUGAUCUCUUGGUGGAGGGUUGAUCUGUUCUGGUUUUUUGUGUUGCCAGAAUGGUUUUGUUGUGUGUUUUCUUUUUAUUCACCUCCUUCUCCUACUUUCUCAUCUCACUUCUUCCUUCUCCCUAAUUUUCCUUGUGUCUGCACUUGGGUGUUGGAGUGGCCUCCUCAGCUUCUGAAGGCCCCGGCUGUGUCACUGUGCCCUCACAAUGGUGUUUCUGGGGAGGGUUCUCCAGUAGCAGGUGGCUCGAGUCCAGUCCCCUCUCCCUUGUCUCCCGAGAGCGGCUGGUGAGGAGAUGACUCUAGUUUGCCGUCCUGGAGGACGGGGGGUACAUAUUUCAGUUUCAGUUAUUCUAGAAUGGCUGGAAGUAAGUCUUUAAAUCAUGUUUUAAAGUAAAAAUGCAUGAGAAUUAAGACGAACAUAGUUCUAACAGAGACCUACGUUUUGGAAGAAUGGACAGUGUAGUGGUUAAAGCUUUUGUCCACUGAAAGUUUCCUAUGUCAUUAUGACAUUGUCACAGUAGGUUAGAUACAGACGUGUCAGGCACCAGGUGAAGCAGCUCCGGAAACUCCUCUGGCCCUAGGCCAGAGUAUCAGUCACAUUUUCCUGUGCCCAAAGGAGCGAGAGGAUGUUUCUCAAGAGAGGAGGUGAAGGCUUGGUGGGGCCUCUUAUUCUGCAAGAGCAGGGUGAAGAGGAGCUCAGGGUGGUUGGUAACUGUGACUCAGAUGAAGAAAUGGCUUGCUUGGCUGAUGCCCCCAGGUGUCGCUGUCUCAACUCCAACCAGUGGAUUCCCACAUAAAAGAGUGACAUCAGUUUUUGUUUCUAGUAGUUUCUAUUUCUCUGCUGAGAAUAUUUAUCUUUUUCUUUAUAAUGAUCAGAUUCCCCUUUACGUUCACAUAUAUACAUAUAUGAGCUGCCCUAAAAUUAUUAUAUGCUAAUUCCAUCAUAUAAGGUCACUUUCUGUUUGGUAUUCACUGAUCGUCUUUUCUCUAUAGAGUUUUCUUGUCUUCAUAAGCCAGGUAAUUUUAAUUUUUUUUUUUUUUUGUAGAGACAGAGUCUCACUUUAUGACCUUUGGUAGAGUGCCGUGGCAUCACACAGCUCACAGCAACCUCCAGCUCCUGGGCUUAAGCGAUUCUCUUGCCUCAGCCUCCCAAGUAGCUAGGACUACAGGCGCCCGCCACAACGCCCGGCUAUUUUUUUGUUGCAGUUUAGCCGGGGCUGGGUUUGAACCCGCCACCCUCAGCAUAUGGGGCCGGCGCCCUACUCACUGAGCCACAGGUGCCGCCCUUUUUUUUUUUUUGUAGAGACAGAGUCUCACUUUACUGCCCUUGGUAGAGUGCCAUGAUGUCACAGGACUCACAGCAACCUCUAGCUCUUGGGCUUACGCGAUUCUCUUGCCUCAGCCUCCUGAGCAGCUGGGACUACAGAGCCUGCCACAGUGCCCGCCACAGUGCCCGGCUAUUUUUUAGUUGCAGUUUGGCCGGGGCUGGGUUUGAACCCGCCACCCUCGGUAUAUGGGGCCAGCACCCUACUCACUGAGUCACAGGCGCCGCCCUAAUUUUUUUUUUUUCUUUUUUUGAGACAGAGUCUCAAGCUGUUGCCCUGGGUAGAGUGCUGUGGCAUCAUAGCUCACAGCAACCUCCAACUCUUGGGCUUAAGCGAUUCUUUUGCCUCAGCCUCCCAAGUAGCUGGGAUUACAGGUACCCACCACAACAUCCAGCUAAUUUUGGUUGUAGUUGUCAUUGUUGUUUGGCAGGCCCAGGCUGGAUUAGAACCCACCAGCUCUGGUGUAUGUGGUUGGCGCCUUAGCCGCUUGAGCUACAGGCACCGAGCCAGUAAUUCUAAAUUUUAUCCUGGGUAUUGUAAUGUUAUGAUGCAGUGACUCUGAAUUCUCUAUAUUCUUCUGAAGAAUAUUGAUUCCCCCCAGUUUUAUUAAGAUAUAAUUGGGACAUAGGCCAGGCAUGGUGGCUCAAGCAUGAAAUCUAAGCCCUUGGGAGGCCAAGGCAGGUGAAUUGCCUGAGCUCACAGGUUCAAGACCAGCCUGAGCCAGAGCAAGACCUCAUCUCUAAAAAUAGCUGGGUGGUUAUGGCACCGGCCGCAUGCACCCAGGGCCAGCUACACAACGAUGACAACUGUAACAACAACAACAAAAUAGCCAGGUGUUGUGGCAGACACCUGUAGUCCCAGCUACUUGGGAGGCUGAGGCAAGAGACUCACUUAAGACCAAGAUUUUGAGGUUGCUGUGAGCUGUGACACUAUAGCACUCUACCCAGGGCAACAUAGUGAGACUCUGUCUCAAAAAAUAAAUAAAUAAAUAAAAAUAGCUGGGCACUGUGGUGGGCACCUGUAGUCCCAGCUACUCAGGAGGCCGAGGCAAGAGAAUUGCUUAAGCCCAGGACUUUGAGGUUGCUGUGAGCUAUGACACCAUGGAACUCUACCAAGGGUGACGAAGUGAGACGCUGUCUAAAAAAAAAUAAUUGACAUAUAAAAGGAUACACAUUUAGAGUGUCCAACAUGAUGUUUUGGUCUAUGCAUACAGUGUAAAAUGAUUAUAUCAAGCUAAUCAACAAAGCCAUCGCCUCAUAUAAUUUUUUUUUGCAUGGUGAGAACAUUUAAGAUCUACUCUCUUAGUAAUUUUCUAGCAUGAAGAAUAUUGAUUUUUAUUUAGGCAGGCAAUUAACUUGGGUAAACUCAAACUGUAAGCUCUCUCUGUCUCCCACAGAGGAUGGUAGAUGAAAUCUCAGUUAACUCCAUUUAGCUUUAACACACUGUGACUGGUCACAAGUUACCUGGUAACAUGGAUAGAUUCUACCUAAAAUUGCCAUGUUAACAUAGCAGUUAUUCCCUGAUUCAGUUAAAAUAGCAAUCUCAAGUCUCCGUUAUCCCAGAUUCAGGCUGUUUUAUUCUUUCUCCUCUCCUCAUUUCUCAGCUGCUUAUAAUAUAAAAUCACUGAGCACCUCUCACAUCUUAACGCAUCGUCUAAGGCUUCCUGAGUCCUGCGUGGGGCAGACAGGAGUCUGCUCUCAGGUUUAAAUCCCUAAAAAUGGGAAACUUGCCCAGUGCUGUUCUGUUCCUCUGAGCGUGGAUUCUCCUACAGUGUCUGCCCUCAGUUGCUCUUGGGUGCCUUCUGUUAGUGGUAGGAUUUAUGGUUAUCCACAGAAAGUCAGAUAGGAGUCACGUGGCAGUGACCAGAGGAGACCCUCCAAGAAGGGGCGCAGAAUGGCCAAGAACUCUCCCCAUCCCAGUGCCACACGGCUCAGCCCCUGAGACUCAGGAGGAGAAGGUGGGAAGCCUAACGUGAAUUUAAACAUGAAAUAAUUGAACAAAGCACAAAGUGUCUGACAAAACCUGGAUCUGACGAGAUUCACUUUUCCUCCGUCAUGUACAAUGGAGCUUCAAUCUUCAGUGAUAGAACAGUGGAGAACAAUGUGUUUUCCCAUCCUACGGUUUGAAAGUGUCUUCUGUCCUACACACACGGAGGGAGAGAGUUGGAGCUGGUGAAGGUGGGGUGGGGGAGAGGCUGGGUGAGAAGUAGUUGUCUCCCCAGUACUCGGCUUCCCAUUGUAGAAUGGUGGGGACAGAAGAGGUCUAGCGGAUUUCAGUCUGUUGGUGCUCUCACACCUGCAGUAAGUGCUGUUUCAUGAACAAACUUCAGAGGCCAUGAACUCCUGUUUUGACAGUCUCUUCCUGUGAAGGGGGGGGUGCGUGCUCAGCAGAGUGCAGGGCCUGAGGCCACACCUCCCUCGGGUCACAAGUCCUCAUCAGAGGAGCUUGGGGACUACAGGCACAGCCGUAGCAGUGGAAGGGUGGGACAGCCCAACCCUGACCUCUUCAAGAGCUGAUCAGGAGAGCUCAGACCUGUGGCUUCGUCAGGAAAGGACCGUCAGGUCUUUGGGGAGCUGAAUCUGGUUAGCUUGCCCAUUCUACUUUAUUUUUUUUUCCUUUAACAUUAUUUACUUAGAAUUUCAAUUUCUGUCCCUAGUCAGGAAAGGGGAAUUGUCCACAUUGACCCUAGAUUGUUCUAUCUCGAGGUUAACCAUGAGCUCCAAGCUAGCAAGUCUGUUAGGGAAAAACAGAGCCUCUUUCCCAGCAAUGACACCAAACACAUCUCAGGAUGGCGCCUCAUUGGUCCGUCGUGGGUCCCCUGACCAUUCCUGAACCAGUCGCGGAGGCCAAGGAGGUGCUGGGCUCUGACUGAGCAGCGCUGGACACGGCCACCCCUAAGGCAGAGAUGAAGUUGACUCCCACCCAGUCACCUGGACCGAGGGUGGCUUCCUCAAGGAGCUGUCACUAAGGGAAGGGAGAUGGGAUGCUGGGUAGCAUAAGAUCAACCGACUUCCACAAUUAAGGCUUCCUUAGAAUCCCGGAUGGAGGGUGGCCGGUGCUGCCGCCCUGUGACAGGCCCCGUCCGCAGCGCUUUGUGCCUAUCCCGGGAGGUCCGACUGUUCUAGGCAAAGGUUCUGAGAGGUCAGUCCCAUUUCGGUGAGUAGUGGGCGGGCCUGGCUUUGAACCUGCUUCCUCUGGAGGCGGGGCCGGGGCUGCCAUGUGACCCGGCCCCUCUGCCCGCGGAGCUGUCACCCGGGAGGCUGCUCGCCUUUAAAAAAAAAAGAGGAAAAAUUGGCAAUAGCCACGAGCAGAGAUGACUUGAUAAAAUAUUUCUUGUUUUCUCGAGUUUACGUAGACCAAGUUUUCGCUGUUGCUAUGGGGUGGGCUGGCGGAGAGAUGAAAAUAAAUCUGUAAUUUAUCUUUUUUUUUUUUUUCUAUGUGUCAAGUACAUUUCCGCCGGGUGCACACACAUGCGCGCGCGCGCGCAGGCACAUAUAAGCUUUAAUACAAUACUUAACCCCCCUUAAUGCUCUCUGCGGAAGGAAUAAACAUGUACCGCACUUUCAACUUCUGUGCUUUGAAAUACCAUAUGGUCUGCGCUGUGAGCUUAAAAUACUCUGGUGAGCGGAAGCUUUCAUGCCGUAGAUGGCCAGGUGGAACUUCCCCGCCAAUCUCACAAGGUUAAUUAAUCCUUUAAAACCGAGCGCGGAGGGGUCCCGGCGUCGGGAAGGGCGGCGGCGAGGCGGCGGCUCAGCGCGCGGCUGCCCCGGGGCGCCUUUGAGGAGCGCGCGCGGCAUCUCCGAGACGCACAGUUUGCGUCCUGCAUAAUCAGGGGGAACGGGCUGAUGGUUUGCAUGAAUAACGAAGUUUGCCGUGGUGGAUGAUUUUUCCUCUAAAAGAGCCCCCUCCUCUGUCUCUCUGGCUCAAUGCAUAUUUAUAAAGGGCAGGGAAAUGGGGCAGAGGACGCUGGAUGGCGCGCGCGGGCGCGAGGAGAGGGGCGGGGACGCGAAGGGGGCGGGAGGAGAACCCACGGUCCUGGGAGGCCGAGCUAGUGCCAGAGCAGGCGGCUCCGGAGGGUGCAGAGCUCUGUGGCGCCUGGAGCCAAGGAACUACUGGCUGAGGGCACAGCCGGCUGGCCAGGUCCCAUCUGGCUGGCUUCCUUCCUACAGGAGCACGUAGGCCACUUAACCCAGUCCUGGGGGUCUCAAAGGGGCUGUCAUCUCCAGAGGAGGUUACAUCUAGAGUCAGAGGGGAGGGAGAGGCCUUGACAUCUAUCCCACACCUUUCUAGGUGUGAUCCCUCCCAGAACACCUGCGCUGCUCCAGGGGCAAAUGUGUUUAAGAAUCCAUCCUUCAGUGGUCUUGUGAAAAGCAUGAUUGAGUUGUGUUAUAUGUAUUUUGGUGUAGAAAAUGUUAAGUUGCUCAUUUUUAACAGACUAUGGUUUUUGUAACCUUGUUUUGACAGUUUUUUUCUGACUCUUUUCAAAUAUCUGGGCAACCUUAGAGUGGUCAGCCUCCCCCACCCACCCCGGCCUUUCCCCAAGCCCUACAGGGAGCCACUGGAGUGGGCAGACUGGGCCCCCCUGCUGGGCUGCUGUUUCCAGAUAACUCCUGGGCCAUUUCUCUCAGUGGCCAGGAGGUGGCAGGUACGAGCCUUCUUGUCGGCCACCCUCCUUCCUCCACCUCUGGGUCCCUAUGCCCUCAGCUCACACACAGGGUCCCAGGUCCUUGGAGGGAGGUCCUGGCAUUUGGGCCCUGAGACAGCUCAGUGACCAUCCAGCAGCCCCUGCCUGGGGUUACCUGCCCACCCCACCCCCCAUGCCUAGUUCCAUGUGAAAGGCAGGCGGGCUUCCUGGAGGAGUCAACAUCUUCAGUGAGACCUGAAGGACGAUAAAGCUUUUCAGGCAGAGGGAACAGAAUCUGAACAUGCAACCCAGGCUCUGCUGCUUUUCGUAACUGAUAGGAGGCUGGUGUGGCUGGAAUGUAGGACAUUGGGCUUGAGGGUAGAGGAAGCUGGGAACUCAAGAUGACACUUGCCAGUGAUGGGGGCACUUGCAGGACGCCCCCCCCGCAGGACCAGGGCCAAGAGUGUGGACUAUAUCCUGAGGGCAGUAGGGAACUCCCCAGCCUGCCCUCACCCUUUGGAAAGAUCACAGGGGCUGCAGACUGCCUGGUCCUCAUCAGCCUCCCACCUCCAUCCCCUCACAGGUCUGGGCCCCCACUGCCCAAGGAUGAUUAGGCAGCAGACCCACCUGUAAUCUCCGAGGGAGUGGCUGGAAGGCUCUGUCUUCAGGAAUCCCCACGCUCACCCUUCCCUGGCUUUGGAGGGGAGGUUGCUUCACAGGGCCCUGGGGCACUAAACAGAGAGGAAGGCCACCACACUCAUUCUGGACCAUCUGGAGGGAGCAUUUUCCCCUACAUGGGGGUGGCAUUCUCCUUUUGUGGCUGUCAACACCCCCCCCACACACACACUCUGAGAGUGUGGGGUGGUUCCCCAAGAGAAGUUGCAGUGUUGUUACCCCAGGAUGAGUGAGCAGCAGCAUGUGACUCAGUGACACUGCCUGGCGACAGACCUUUCCUACCCUGGCGAUUGUACCCUGCAAAGGGUGCCCUGAAGGUGCAGGAAGUGGAGACCAGACUGGGGCAGGAGGGGAGGAAGCUUGAGCAAAUCGUGUGUUCCAUGGCCUCUGCUCCUCACAUAUGCACAGGCCCUGUUAGGAACAUAAAAUAGAUAAAAAAUAAGACGAGCAAAGUGGCAGGAUAUCCAGGCCUCCUGGCAGCCUUCAGGCCUGGAUUCCAGGACGUAGGACUUUUAGAGAGUUCCUAUUAUUCACUGAGUCUUGAUUUCACCAUCUGCCAAGUGUACGCAUGGUCUUCCUGACCAGAUGGGCUGGAGGGCCUUUUAAGUACCAUAGUUUUAUAAUUAUGUUAAAAUACAGAUUCCUUCAUUCAUUUACAUAUUGGUGUUAUGUUUCAGGCACUGUGCUAUGUGCUGAGAUACAGAAAAAAUAAGAUCUGAUUAGUGACUUCAGAGACACACAAAUAGAUGAGAAAGGGAGGUGGACACACCACCUUCAAGACCUAGGUAAGACUGUUUCAAACAACCUUCCCAGGCCAGAGGUUCUUUCCCUAGCUGCCCAGAAGAGUCCAUCUGUGAGUUUCUUUCUUUUUCUUUUCUUUUUUUUUUUUGAGACAGAGUCUCACUUUAUCACCCUUGGUAGAGUGCUGUGCUAUCACAACUCACAGCAACCUUAAACUCUUGGGCUCAAGCAAUCCUCCUGCCUCUAACUCCUGAGUAGCUGGGACUACAGGCUCCUGCCACAAUGCCUGGCUGUUUUUAGAGACGGGGGUCUUUCUCUUGCUCAGGCUGUUCUUGAACCGGUGAGUUCAGGAAAUCCACCUGCCUUGGCCUCCCCUCUGAGUGCUAAGAUUACAGGUGUGAGCCACAGUGCCUGGCCCACCUGUGGGUUUCUUUUCUUUUCUUCUUACUCACUCCUAUACUAACAAGAACCACUUGCAAGUUUUUUUUUUUGUUUCGUUUUCUUUUUGAGUCAGAAUCUCACUCUGUUGCUCCCGGUAGAGUGCUAUGGCAUCAUAGCUCACAGCAACCUCAAACCUUGGACUCGGGGGAUCCUCCUGCCUCAGCCUCCUGAGUAGCUGGCACUACAGGUGCCUGAAAUAAUGUCAGGCUAGUUUUUCUGUUUUUAGUAGAGAUGAGGUCUCAUUCUUGCCCGGGCUGGUCUCCAACUCCUGAGCUCAAGCAACCUACCAACCUCAGCCUCCCAGAGUGCUGAAAUUUAAGGCCUGGGCCACCACACCCAGUUACCACCUGCAAUUUGUUGUUGUUGUUUUUUGAGACAGAGUCUUGCUUUGUCACCUUGGUAGAGUGCCUUGGCAUCACAGCUCACAGCAACCUCAAACUCUUGGGGUCAAGCAAUUCUCUUGCCCCAAUCUCCCAAGUAGCUGGGAUUACAGGCACCUGCCACAACAACUGGCUAAUUUUAGAGAUGAGAGGGGGUCUUGCUCUUGCUCAGGCUGUUCUUGAACUGGUGAGCUCAGGCAAUCCACCCUUCUCAGCCUCCCAGAGUGCUAGGAUGACAGGGGUGAGCCACCGUGCUGGGCCCCACCUGUUAAGUUUUUAAAAUACUAAUGUUGAAGCCCCCACCUCUACAGAUUCAGAUUUAAUUGAUCUGGAGUGUGGUCUGAGUUUCAUCUAUCUUAGAAGCCCCCAGGCAAUUCUAACAUGCCCGAGGCCCUCUGGUUCAGAUCUCCAGCCCCUGUGGAAUUCCUGCCUUCCUGGUUAUGUCCCAACACACACCCAGAACUGGGGUGUGGCCCUUUCUCCCUUCCCCUCCUGCAAAGCACCAAGUAGGGCUGGCUGGCUGGCAGCAGAGAGCUGGAGAAGCAGCAGUUCGACCCUCCUCACAGCCCCCAGGUGGGAGCCUCUCUCUGCUUGCUUUGUCCUGUGUCCCUGGCCCCCCAGAAAAGAGAAGUUGACAUUCUGUGUAUCACUGCUAGGUUCAAGAAACCUGGUGGGCUGUAGCCUGGAAAGACAUCGCCAGCAUUCAGGAGAAGGGUGACAAUUGACCAGUUUGUUCACUGCCAACCCAUAAGGGCCAGAACUCAACCAGGCUGGUGCUGGUUUGCAGCUGCCUGGGAGAUGCUAGCAGCCUGACUCACAUGGGUGUGCAGAGAACCUCCAGCCAUGGAAAGCCAGGAAUAUGGACACAUCUUCUGGGAAAACUCAGGAACCUAAGGGAAGAAGUCCAAGUUGAAAAACCAGAAUGGUAGACACUACAGGGAAGGAUCAGAACUUUAUCACAACUGUAAGAAGACUUCUCAGGGAGAUGAUGGGCAUUGGCAGGAGCUGGGGGAAGACCAUCAAGAACUAAAAAAACAAAAAUAUUUCUUGGAUUUAAAAAUUCAACUGAUGAACUCAGGAAGAGAAUGAUCACGGCUGAGAAAUAAGUUGAUAUCUUGGGAAUUCAAAUAGGAGAAAAUCUGCAGUCCUGAGUCAAAAAAAGGUUUGGAGGUAAAAUCCUGGAGAUCUAACAUUCAAAGGAGAGAAUAAAAAGAAGAUAUAAAAGGGGAAAUUAACAAAACAAGUUAAUUAAACAUUUUAUUUUCUCUUUGUGUUUUCAGAGAUGGGGUCUCACUAUGUUGCCCAGGCUGCAGGUCCGUGGCUAUAAACAGGUGCAAUCACAGUCUACCAUAGCCUUAAGCUCUGGGCUCAAAUGAUCCUCUUGUCUCAGCCUCUGAGCAGCUGGGAUUACAGGCACGUGCCACAGGGCCACCUCCUAAUUAAAAACCUUUUUCUAAGCCGAAGAAAGCUUUGAUGAAAGGGGCAGAUAGAGUUCCAGGAAGGAUUAAUUAAAAAGACAUAUUCUUAGACAUUGCUUAGCUAUAAACGUCCAGAUGAAAAGGAGGGUUAGUUACAAAGGAAAGGAAAGUCAGAUUGGUAUUGGUUUUCUUGUCUGCCAAGAACAGUGAUUUUAGGGACAAGUACAGUGGAACCUCCCCUGGAAGUUGGGAGACCAGUGGAACAGUGAUUUCAGGGACAAGUACAGUGACCCAAGAACGCUAUAUACACACUCGAUAUCAUUCAUAUACUGGGGCAAUGGGAAGAGGUUUUAACCCAUGCAAAGUCUUAUAUCCUGUCUGGGGAAAAUGCUGGAGAAAUGCUACAGCCAAAACCAGAUGAAAUGGGGCACAGUAAGGAAAGCCAAAUGAAGACCUCAAGACUGAAUUUGGAAUGACCCCAGACACUGGGAGUGAGGAACAGGAUGACAAAUCACCAGGGGGAGAGACAGGAAGAAAAUUACAAGAGGGCUUUCAGCUUCCAAGGAAGUUGUGUCAUGAGAAGCCCUGUGGAAGACCAAAGACAACAGACUGAAGCCCCCGGCUAACAGCCAUGUGAGUGACCUUGGAAGAGGAUCCUCCAGCUCAGUGAAGUCUUGACUGCAGCCUGAGCUGACACUUGAUUUCAGCCUCAUGAGAGACCCCAGCCAGGACCAUUCACAUAAGCUCCUCCUGGACUCCGGGUCCACAGAAACUGAGAGAUGGGGGCCUCACUGUGUUGCCCAGGCUGGUCUUGAACGUCUGGCCUCAAGCAAUCCACUGUCAAAGUGCUGGGAUUAUAGGCAUGAGUCACCUGCUGGCCAAAUGGGAGUCUUCUAAAAACUAAUUUGAAAGACUCCUUCAGGUCCAAGUUUUAGAAAAAGAAGGAAGAAAGCCAAAAAUAUUGUUAUAAAUGAGGCAGUAGUUUCAGGUACAGACCUCGUGAUGUGCGUCUUUACAGCAGCAAUCUUAAUUUAAAGGAACAUGGACACUAUCUAGAAAAACAGAGAUUACCAAAGUUGACUCAAGGACGGCAAAAGGAAAUCUAAGUUGGCCACUGUGGAAGAGCUGCCGUCGUAACCAACGUUCUGCCCUCAGAAGGGUGGCCUGUUAGUCCACAUCAUUCCAGAGUACUGGCUAACCAGUGAGAGAAGAUGAUCAAAAAAAGAAAAAAACAAAAAAGAAAAAUAAAAGAGAAGAUGAUCAAGCCAGAGGCACACACAAUGGAAAACAGAGACCGGUGUAAUUCCAGUGACUCUGAAAUAUAAUUUGGGCAAGACUUGAUGUUUUAUUAUUGUAUGUCUUCUUACCCACAAAUGUAAUAUGCCAUGCAAAUAAUACCUUUAAUCUUUUUUUUUUUUGAAACAGAGUCUCACUAUGUCGCCCUGGGUAGAGUGCCGUGGCCUCAUCACAGCUAACAGUAACUAACCUCAAACUCUUGGGCUUAAGCAAUUCUCUUGCCUCAGCCUCCCAAGUAGCUGGGACCACAGGCACCUGCCACAACACCCGGCUAUUUUUUUGUUGCAGUUGUUGUUAAGCUGGCAUCAGGGCCGGGUUCGAACCUGCCAGCCUUGGUCUAUGUGGCUGGUGCCCUAACGCUGAGCUAUGGGUGCCGAGCCCCUUUAAUCUUCUUUAAUAACACCUACAAACUUAUAAUGCUGAGUCUUUCUUGUUAAAUUUGUUCUUUAUUGUUUUCUGGAUUUUGUCAACAUUGAGAAAAUCUGCCAUAGACAUUUUAAAUUGUAAUAAAUGAUGCACAGUUACUGUGCAAAAAAUACAGCAAUUUGCCCCUUCUCUGGCAAUGACCUGGUUAGGUUUGCUUCCCAAGGCAACCUCCUUGGAGGCACCUUGCUAUGAACUUUUGAAUUUUGUCACGUCAUGGGUGCUGUUCUCAGUUGAAUGAUCUGAAUGUUCCUGACUCCUGGAGAAGCUGAGGGUCUUGUCACUGCUUA